rnacentral:rRNA from 1 species
AACGGUAGUUUUUCUUUAUUUGGGAUUCCUUCGGGGAUGAAGAUUAUUAAAACUUAGUGGCCGGACGGGUGAGUAACGCGUGGUAACCUGCCCUUUUGUGGGGAACAACUUCGAGAAAUUGAAGCUAAUACCGCAUACUCUUAAAGAGUCGCAUGACUUUUUAAGGAAAGAUGGCCUCUGAACAUGCUAUCGCAAAAGGAUGGACCCGCGUCUGAUUAGCUAGUUGGAAGGGUAACGGCCUACCAAGGCGACGAUCAGUAGCCGGCCUGAGAGGGUGAACGGCCACAUUGGGACUGAGACACGGCCCAAACUCCUACGGGAGGCAGCAGUGGGGAAUCUUCCGCAAUGGGCGAAAGCCUGACGGAGCAAUGCCGCGUGAGUGAAGAAGGCCUUCGGGUUGUAAAACUCUGUCCUUAUUGAAGAGAGGUAGUAGUGUGAAUAAUGCUAUUAUAGGACGGUAAAUAAGGAGGAAGCCCCGGCUAACUACGUG